AUUGAACGCUGGCGGCAGGCCUAACACAUGCAAGUCGAGCGAGCGGCGGACGGGUGAGUAAUGUAUGGGGAUCUGCCCGAUGGAGGGGGAUAACUACUGGAAACGGUAGCUAAUACCGCAUACUAUCAGAUGAACCCAGAUGGGAUUAGCUAGUAGGUGGGGUAAUGGCUCACCUAGGCGACGGUCCCUAGCUGGUCUGAGAGGAUGAUCAGCCACACUGGAACUGAGACACGGUCCAGACUCCUACGGGAGGCAGCAGUGGGGAAUAUUGCACAAUGGGCGCAAGCCUGAUGCAGCCAUGCCGCGUGUGUGAAGAAGGCCUUCGGGUUGUAAAGUACUUUCAGCGAGGAGGCGUUACCCGCAGAAGAAGCACCGGCUAACUCCGUGCCAGCAGCCGCGGUAAUAC
rnacentral:rRNA from 1 species